CCUACGGGGGGCAGCAGUGGGGAAUAUUGGACAAUGGGCGAAAGCCUGAUCCAGCCAUGCCGCGUGUGUGAAGAAGGCCUUCGGGUUGUAAAGCACUUUCAGUGGGGAAGAAAGCCUUGGGGCUAAUACCCUCGAGGAAGGACAUCACCCACAGAAGAAGCACCGGCUAACUCCGUGCCAGCAGCCGCGGUAAUACGGAGGGUGCGAGCGUUAAUCGGAAUUACUGGGCGUAAAGCGCGCGUAGGCGGUCUGAUAAGCCGGUUGUGAAAGCCCCGGGCUCAACCUGGGAACGGCAUCCGGAACUGUCAGGCUAGAGUGCAGGAGAGGAAGGUAGAAUUCCCGGUGUAGCGGUGAAAUGCGUAGAGAUCGGGAGGAAUACCAGUGGCGAAGGCGGCCUUCUGGACUGACACUGACGCUGAGGUGCGAAAGCGUGGGUAGCAAACAGGAUUAGAACCCUGGUAGUC
rnacentral:rRNA from 1 species